AGUGAACGCUGGCGGCAGGCCUAACACAUGCAAGUCGAGCGGCAGCGCGGGGCAACCUGGCGGCGAGCGGCGGACGGGUGAGGAAUGCAUCGGAAUCUACCCUGUCGUGGGGGAUAACGUAGGGAAACUUACGCUAAUACCGCAUACGACCGAGAGGUGAAAGUGGGGGACCGCAAGGCCUCACGCGAUUGGAUGAGCCG
rnacentral:rRNA from 1 species